rnacentral:rRNA from 1 species
AGUGAACGCUGGCGGUAGGCCUAACACAUGCAAGUCGAACGGCAGCACAGUAAGAGCUUGCCCUUACGGGUGGCGAGUGGCGGACGGGUGAGGAAUACAUCGGAUUCUACUUUUUCGGGGGGGAUAACGUAGGGAAACUUACGCUAAUACCGCAUACGACCUACGGGUGAAAGCAGUGGAUCUUCGGACCUUGCGCGAUUGAAUGAGCCGAUGUCGGAUUAGCUAGUUGGCGGGGUAAAGGCCCACCAAGGCGACGAUCCGUAGCUGGUCUGAGAGGAUGAUCAGCCACACUGGAACUGAGACACGGUCCAGACUCCUACGGGAGGCAGCAGUGGGGAAUCUUGCACAAUGGGCGCAAGCCUGAUCCAGCCAUACCGCGUGAGUGAAGAAGGCCUUCGGGUUGUAAAGCCCUUUUGUUAGGAAAGAAAAGCAGCAGGUUAAUCCCCCGCUGUUCUGACGGUACCCAAAGAAUAAGCACCGGCUAACUUCGUG